AUGGACGGAUGCUUCAAGUUACUCUACAUUUCAAAUCUUUUGUUACAAAUGAAUCGUAUGCAUCCGCUCGUCUCGGCCAAUUUCGACUUGCACCAACCGACUUUUUAUCCCGCCGAGCCGUUGAGGGAAAAAGACGUGCUGCGGACACUGCGCGAGGAUCAUUUGACCAACUGGAGCUGGUUGGACGAGAUGGAGCCGCCGGGCCCCAACACGGUGGCCAUCCGCCGCGGCCACGACCCCCACACCCGCUCUUGGAUCGUCUUCCGCACGACGAAGCGCGGUACCACCCUCUACAAGGAGACAUUCACCAACGAGGACGCUGCCAUGUCCUUCUUCCUCGAUCGGGUCCGCUUGAUCUCCAUCUGCGUCGAGCCCGUCACUCCGCAUAUAGUCGACAGCGAUGAGAUUUACGAUAUUUUCGACCAACAACGUGCUCAGCAGGCUAAAAAUGAAUAGACCGUAGAAUAAUAGCUACCGAGGUAACUGUCAGAUCCUCCCAUAAGAUCGCGUACAUUUUCGAAGCGGACUUGGAGUCGAUUCCCCGCAAAAUUUGAAACGGCAGGCUCCGCGGGGAUUUCAAGACUCGGAGCAAAGAUGGCCGACUGCUGCCCUUCUGCAGGACGGUAAGGAAGUCGGUGCCACCCGCGCUCGGAUAGGCCUGGCGGUCCCUGCUGAAUUUUGACCCGAGGGAUCGCGCUUACGGAAUCAUAUAUUGUGAUAUCCAAAGUGAAAAAUGGUCGGGGAAAAAGGAAAGCGACACAAUCCGUGGAGAAAAUUACCAGCUCAGAAACAGUUGUAUUUCUUCUAUUUUCAACGAAGUUUUUCAUGGAUUUUUUUGUUUAAUAGUAGUUCCUUCAAGCAUAAAAAUUGACCCCUACGCCUUUAGGUAAUCUUGCACGCAUCGUUUGUACACAUGUUCUCAAUUAAAUCCAAAGGAGCUAAAAUUAUUCGGACAUGAGCCCUGGUACGCAUGUAUUCUCAUGGUUUUCAAGGUCCAUGCCUCAAAUGCACAUAGUUCCUUUUGAUUUAAAUGCGUCGAAUUAUAAGAAGCUAGUUGGUAAGGUUCUUGCUUACGAUAAAAGUAGUAAUAAGGCAGUAGAGCUCGAAGAGUGGCGUCACAUGGGGUCACGUGACCCUCCAUUGCCUUCAAAGAUUGUCGGGCCGACAAGCUUUGAGGGUGACGAGACCCCACGUGACGCCACUUUGAGAGUUCUACAUUGAUCAUCUGAAACGGGCUUAGAAUAAUAGCCAUCUGGUACCCCCAUGGCCGGAAAAAUAGAAAGAUCGCGCGGCGGGCCCCGCGCCUUUGCGCCCUCUGAAAGAUCGAUUAUACAGUUCGUCCCGUCGGGAGAUUCCCGGUUUUUCGUUAUUUCCAGGUUCUUCUUUUUUCGGUCAGCUUAUAAUUUGACUGCCAGAGACGUUCGUCGUCAUGGAAAUCGCCGUGAGUGAUGGAUUUACGGCAGAAACAUACUUCAAGAUGUUUCUAAGUAGAGAAAGUAUUCACACAACGGGAAGGAAGUUCGGAGAUAAACUUUUGAACGAGGAAUUAACAAAUUCAUGACCAAAAGGCGAAGCCACGGAUCUUCUUUUGCGACGUUGCAGAAGCAAACUCCCCUGCCAUACUCAACAUAAUUUAUUUAAAACCAUCUUAAAUUUUCUUCUCCUUCGGCAGAAUAUUCUAUAAAUAUUUCAAGCUAUAAGGCAACAAGGCUAUGGUGUUUCUUUCUCCUUUAUAAAAAAUUGAAAAAAUGAGUAAACCAAAAGCAGGAAAAAUCCACAAUCAUUCGAUCCUAAGAUUGCAGGCUCGCGGUAUGAACACCAAUAGGCAACAAGGAUAUCUAUUGCUCGACGUUGAACUCGAGAGAUCGAAAUUCUAACGCAAGAUUAACUCCUAACCGUGGUAAUGACGUUUUUCUUGAAUAAAUUUAACCUUUCCGCUCAUGGAAGAGGGAAUACUUUACUUCAGUAAAAUUCCCCGUCAAACGCCACUAUGACAGUCUCAGUAAUUUGAAAAUAUGGCAACCUCAAUCUUGACUCUCAGUUCAAGCUGCACACACUUUGAACAACUCAGUGUGGGAAAGAAACAAUGCUCGAUUGAGUAGUCUGCUAAAGCCGUUGUAGUGCACAGUUUGACUCACGAAGGGUUUUGUUUUUCUUGUGACCGGGUAAUUUAAAGUUCUCGUAACCAACGGACAAUAAAAACGUUCAUAUGUAUCUUAGAUAGAAGUUGAUUUCGGUAGUUUUCGUUGCGCGAAUCGUGUUCUGCGUGAAAUUUUGUUGAAAAAGCAUGUAUUAGAGAGCUUAAAUUCGUACUUUGUUUAAUGGUCAAUUCAAUAAUAAAAAGAAAAGAAGGAAAAAGAAGAAAAAAAAACCGAAUGUAGAGCGCUUGCCUUACUUUUCUCAGGGAAAAAAUGUUAUCGGGAGAACGAGGCAACGUUGGAAUGCUCAUACGGCGUCGGAACACAACAUGGGCCGUUUAAGCCCCGUUGUUCGAUGCCGCGAUUAUCUAACGCAAGUUCGAAUAAUCGCAACAAACACGGUGCGGUCGAUGUCACAUUCAUAUCAGCGCCGCUAGUUAAACAGAAUAUCUGUAAGAAUACUUCAACGCCUCGCCAAAUA
rnacentral:lncRNA from 1 species